AAAGGUUUGGUCCCGGCCUUCUUAUUGGUUACUAGGAAA
rnacentral:rRNA from 1 species